rnacentral:rRNA from 1 species
AUUGAACGCUGGCGGCAGGCCUAACACAUGCAAGUCGAGCGGAUGAAGGGAGCUUGCUCCUGGAUUCAGCGGCGGACGGGUGAGUAAUGCCUAGGAAUCUGCCUGGUAGUGGGGGAUAACGUCCGGAAACGGGCGCUAAUACCGCAUACGUCCUGAGGGUGAAAGUGGGGGAUCUUCGGACCUCACGCUAUCAGAUGAGCCUAGGUCGGAUUAGCUAGUUGGUGGGGUAAAGGCCUACCAAGGCGACGAUCCGUAACUGGUCUGAGAGGAUGAUCAGUCACACUGGAGCGGGGACACGGUCCAGGCUCCUACGGGAGGCAGCAGUGGGGAAUAUUGGACAAUGGGCGGAAGCCUGGUCCAGCCAUGCGGCGUGUGUGAAGAAGGUCUUCGGAUUGUAAAGCACUUUAAGUUGGGAGGAAGGGCAGUAAGUUAAUACCUUGCUGUUUUGACGGUACCAACAGAAUAAGCACCGGCUAACUUCGUG